UCAGUUAUCGUUUAUUUGAUAGUACCUUACUACUUGGAUAACCGUGGUAAUUCUAGAGCUAAUACAUGCUAAAAACCCCGACUUCGGAAGGGGUGUAUUUAUUAGAUAAAAAACCAAUGCCUUCGGGCUCCUUGGUGAUUCAUGAUAACUUAACGAAUCGCAUGGCCUUGUGCCGGCGAUGGUUCAUUCAAAUUUCUGCCCUAUCAACUUUCGAUGGUAGGAUAGUGGCCUACCAUGGUUUCAACGGGUAACGGGGAAUUAGGGUUCUAUUCCGGAGAGGGAGCCUGAGAAACGGCUACCACAUCCAAGGAAGGCAGCAGGCGCGCAAAUUACCCAAUCCCGACACGGGGAGGUAGUGACAAUAAAUACUGAUACAGGGCUCUUUUGGGUCUUGUAAUUGGAAUGAGUACAAUUUAAAUCCCUUAACGAGGAACAAUUGGAGGGCAAGUCUGGUGCCAGCAGCCGCGGUAAUUCCAGCUCCAAUAGCGUAUAUUAAAGUUGUUGCAGUUAAAAAGCUCGUAGUUGAACCUUGGGUCUGGCUGGUCGGUCCUCCUCACCGAGUGUACUGAUCCGGCCGGACCUUUCCUUCUGGCUAGCCGCAUGCCCUUCACUGGGUGUGUCGGGGAACCAGGACUUUUACUUUGAAAAAAUUAGAGUGUUCAAAGCAGGCAUUUGCUCGAAUACAUUAGCAUGGAAUAAUAGAAUAGGACGUGCGGUUCUAUUUUGUUGGUUUCUAGGACCGCCGUAAUGAUUAAUAGGGAUAGUCGGGGGCAUCAGUAUUCAAUUGUCAGAGGUGAAAUUCUUGGAUUUAUUGAAGACUAACUACUGCGAAAGCAUUUGCCAAGGAUGUUUUCAUUAAUCAGUGAACGAAAGUUAGGGGAUCGAAGACGAUCAGAUACCGUCGUAGUCUUAACCAUAAACUAUGCCGACUAGGGAUCGGGGGAUGCUUACUACAUGGCUCCAUCGGC
rnacentral:rRNA from 1 species